rnacentral:rRNA from 1 species
AACGUAGGAGACAAACGUUAUCCGGAGUUACUGGGCGUAAAGGGCGUGCAGGCGGUCGACUAAGCCUGGCGUGAAAGCUCUCGGCUAAACCGGGAGAGGUCGUUGGAUACUGGUUGACUAGAGGACGGUAGAGGCGUGUGGAAUUCCGGGUGUAGUGGUGAAAUGCGUAGAGAUCCGGAGGAACACCAGUGGCGAAGGCGACACGCUGGGCCGUACCUGACGCUGAUACGCGACAGCAUGGGGAGCGAACAGG